UUUUUGAUUGUGUAUGCAUGUAAAAUUUUGAAUUUUAAGGAGUAAUUAUAUUUAUAGAA
rnacentral:tRNA from 1 species